rnacentral:rRNA from 1 species
AGUGAACGCUGGCGGUAGGCCUAACACAUGCAAGUCGAACGGCAGCACAGGAGAGCUUGCUCUCUGGGUGGCGAGUGGCGGACGGGUGAGGAAUACAUCGGAAUCUACUUUUUCGUGGGGGAUAACGUAGGGAAACUUACGCUAAUACCGCAUACGACCUACGGGUGAAAGCAGGGGACCUUCGGGCCUUGCGCGAUUGAAUGAGCCGAUGUCGGAUUAGCUAGUUGGCGGGGUAAAGGCCCACCAAGGCGACGAUCCGUAGCUGGCCUGAGAGGAUGAUCAGCCACACUGGAACUGAGACACGGUCCAGACUCCUACGGGAGGCAGCAGUGGGGAAUAUUGGACAAUGGGCGCAAGCCUGAUCCAGCCAUGCCGCGUGGGUGAAGAAGGCCUUCGGGUUGUAAAGCCCUUUUGUUGGGAAAGAAAUCCAGCUGGCUAAUACCCGGUUGGGAUGACGGUACCCAAAGAAUAAGCACCGGCUAACUUCGUGCCAGCAGCCGCCGUAA